rnacentral:rRNA from 1 species
ACGCUCGACACCUACGGGGGCAGCAGUCGGGAAUAUUGCGCAAUGGAGGAAACUCUGACGCAGUGACGCCGCGUAUAGGAAGAAGGUUUUCGGAUUGUAAACUAUUGUCGUUAGGGAAGAUACAAGACAGUACCUAAGGAGGAAGCACCGGCUAACUAUGUGCCCAGCACGCCGGAAGGUAAUCUGAGGCCGGGUCGUGGACGAAGGC